UACGUAGGGGGCGAGCGUUGUCCGGAUUUAUUGGGCGUAAAGAGCGUGUAGGCGGCCAGGUAGGUCUGCUGUGAAAACUCGAGGCUCAACCUCGAGACGUCGGCGGAAACCAUCUGGCUAGAGUCCGGAAGAGGAGAGUGGAAUUCCUGGUGUAGCGGUGAAAUGCGCAGAUAUCAGGGAGAACACCGGUGGCGAAGGCGGCAUCCUGGACCGGUAUUGACGCUGAGGCGCGAAAGCCAGGGGAGCAAACGGG
rnacentral:rRNA from 1 species